GGGGAAAAAAGUCAUUAGCUUAGAAUAUGAAGCCUAUCUACCCAUGGUGGAAAAUGAAGAUUUGUAGUGACAUUAGGCAGAAAUGACCAAACACAUAGCAGUGUUCCAUAGACUUGGAUGUUUGCUGAGUCAAUGAAAGGACUCCUCCAUCUUCAUGCCCAUUAAAUGGUUUAGUGGAUAGAUGCUGACAAACUAGACUCAACAUCAGUCUCAGCAUCUCCUCUGCUGAACAUAACUGGGCUUGGUUCCAGUGUCAGAAGCAAGCAUAAUCAUUGCUGUGUCCUCAGUCCACAGGGCUGCAUCUCUUGAAGCUGUGAGCUAUGCCAUUGAUAAUUUAAAAGCCAAGGUGCCCAUUUGUAAAAAGGGCAUUUAUAUAAUAUCGCUUUUCCAAGGUGAAAUAUGAAAUAUACAUGCCCGAAAGAAUGCAUCACAAUCCAGUAAGC